AUUGAAGUGAGCGGAGCUGCAGUUUGUUUCUAUUCAUCGUCAGGAUUAACCGACGACGUGCUCAGAUUACAGGGUGUCAUUAGAAACAGAGGAUCGUGCGCGUACAUGUGCUCUUUGUUCUUUGAAAACAUGCCAUGUGCGCACCUGCGGACCAGAGAGAUCGUGGAGUUGAUUUUACUGCCUCAUAUCAUCCUCCAGGAAGUGGCAUCAUUUUUGGAAGGAAAACAACAGCUCAAACAUCAGUGGGACCAGAACCCAUGUCUCUGAGGCUGCUCACAAAACGUGCCAACAGUCGCACCCCAGGAAAAGGUAAACAUACUUGAACUGAUGCAGAAAUGUCUGAUGUGAUGGUGCUUGUCAGUAAGUCAGCAGAACGCGGUCAAUGACAGGGAACUGGAAGAUUUGGUAGCAACAUGUUGACUUCUUGUGUGAUCAUAUUGCAAAUGCACAAUGGUUCAGACCCAAAAGUACAAUGCAAAAAUAGAAAAAGGAGGGGGCUAGAAUCAAGGUUUUGGACCAAGCAAA